AAGACUCCGAUGGGUAGGGGGCCUGAGAGGGUUAUCCCCCACACUGGUACUGAGACACGGACCAGACUCCUACGGGAGGCAGCAGUGAGGAAUAUUGGUCAAUGGAGGCAACUCUGAACCAGCCAUGCCGCGUGCAGGAUGACUGCCCUAUGGGUUGUAAACUGCUUUUAUGUAGGAAGAAACCUCAGUACGUGUACUGAGCUGACGGU
rnacentral:rRNA from 1 species